rnacentral:lncRNA from 1 species
CUUUUCUCUCACUUCUGCUUGGCUUUAAUGUAUAUUACGUGGGGAUCAUGAUACACACAUCUCCCAGGACCUCUUCACCCUACUCUUCAUGAAACAAGUCUGGAAGAUACACUUUAAAAAACUCCAAACUCUCCUCUACAAACUGUGAUACAUUUCUUCUAUCAGCAAAGGAGAAGGCUUCAGUCUCCCUGUAGCUAACAAAUGAAGACUGAGGGAACCCAAAGAGUAUAGCCAAAGCCACCUGACAGUCCCACAGGAGAAUCCAUUACUCACAUGUUGAGCUUCUCCAUGACUCAGUUUCCUGACCUAUACAAUGUUGAAUAUAAUGUGAUAUCCUCCUUGAUUGCUGUUAGGAAUGAAGGAGCUUGUCAACAUGCAACAGGGAUGUGAAAGCAAACUAUAUAAUUUGUGUGAACAAUUUCUACUUCCACAGGACUAAGUUCCCUAUUCACUCCCACUGCGGCUGCCAUAGAGAAAGAAGUAGGUCAUCAGAGACAUGAGGAUUGAUUCAGGAUGGGAACAGGUCUGGAAUUUUACCUCUGAAGAAGUGAAAAUCUCUUUAGACAUAAAAUUCUGUUUGAUUGGGUCAGGUUGACUUUUUUCACAGGUUGCUUACCUCACAGAGGCUAUGCCAGGGCACGGCACGAACCACUCACAGAUGUUUUUGCUUGAAGCUGUUACAUAUCUCCUUGGAAAUUUGCUUCAUAAUCCUAACAAGGCACCACUUUCAGAUAAAACAUAGACCUGAAUGGCAUCAUCCAGUAUCCAAGGAAACCAUGUAAGUACCUCUCUCACUGUGUACUUCUCUUAUUCAGAGUUUAAAAGCUAGCUGAGUACUGAAUAAGUGAGUGUUUUUAUUUAAUAAUUAUAUGGGUGGGACUUUUUAGGAGCUUGCUAAAAAGAAACAGGUCCUUGAUUGUUAUGUGCGUCAUAACAAAACCCUUAUGUUUCCUCAUAUUUCAUAAAAUUAUGUGUUUAGUCCCAACCUCUCCAUCAGUUCUCAUUCUUAU